rnacentral:rRNA from 1 species
UACGGGGGGGGGCGAGCGUUGUCCGGAAUCAUUGGGCGUAAAGAGCGUGUAGGCGGCUUGCUAAGUCCUGCGUGAAAUCUCGGGGCUCAACCCCGAGCGGUCGUGGGAAACUGGCAGGCUAGAGUGCGGGAGAGGAGAGUGGAAUUCCUGGUGUAGCGGUGAAAUGCGCAGAUAUCAGGAAGAACACUCGUGGCGAAAGGCGGCUCUCUGGAACGCAA